GACGAACGCUGGCGGCGUGCUUAACACAUGCAAGUCGAACGGAAAGGCCCUGCUUUUGUGGGGUGCUCGAGUGGCGAACGGGUGAGUAACACGUGAGUAACCUGCCCUUGACUUUGGGAUAACUUCAGGAAACUGGGGCUAAUACCGGAUAGGAGCUCCUGCUGCAUGGUGGGGGUUGGAAAGUGUCGGCGGUUGGGGCUGGACUCGCGGCUUAUCAGCUUGUUGGUGGGGUAGUGGCUUACCAAGGCUUUGACGGGUAGCCGGCCUGAGAGGGUGACCGGCCACAUUGGGACUGAGAUACGGCCCAGACUCCUACGUGAGGCAGCAGUGGGGAAUAUUGCACAAUGGGCGGAAGCCUGAUGCAGCAACGCCGCGUGCGGGAUGCCGGCCUUCGGGUUGUAAACCGCUUUCGCCUGUGCCGAAGCGUGAGUGACGGUAAUGGGUAAAGAAGCACCGGCUAACUACGUG
rnacentral:rRNA from 1 species